rnacentral:rRNA from 1 species
CCUACGGGGGGCAGCAGUGGGGAAUAUUGGACAAUGGGGGGAACCCUGAUCCAGCCAUGCCGCGUGUGUGAAGAAGGCCCUCGGGUUGUAAAGCACUUUCAGUGAGGAAGAACGCCUGGUGGUUAAUACCCAUCAGGAAAGACAUCACUCACAGAAGAAGCACCGGCUAACUCCGUGCCAGCAGCCGCGGUAAUACGGAGGGUGUGAGCGUUAAUCGGAAUUACUGGGCGUAAAGCGCGCGUAGGUGGCUUGAUAAGCCGGUUGUGAAAGCCCCGGGCUCAACCUGGGAACGGCAUCCGGAACUGUCAAGCUAGAGCGCAGGAGAGGAAGGUAGAAUUCCCGGUGUAGCGGUGAAAUGCGUAGAGAUCGGGAGGAAUACCAGUGGCGAAGGCGGCCUUCUGGACUGACACUGACACUGAGGUGCGAAAGCGUGGGUAGCAAACAGGAUUAGAUACCCGAGUAGUC